rnacentral:tRNA from 1 species
UGCGGAAUAGUAUUAUAUGUAUAAAAGAUUUUGGAUCUUUUGGUUUAAGAUUUUCUCUUUUUUCCUCAU